UAAUACUGUGAAAAUCGUGAACAUGAUGAUAAUGCAUUUUUAUUUUGCGUGAGAGCUGUUUGAAAAGACCGCCUGAAAUUGUCAGCCCGUUUCGUUCCCAUGGCGACGUCACCAGGCGGUUUAAAAAAAAAAAAGCCCCAUUUAGGCUCGUCCAAUUUGGCCCAUCACUCAGACCACUCUCAGACAGUCCUAGCAAAACUCUUUGCUUAAGAAAUUGCUCUUUGACCAGUUUUAAUUGAAAACAAUCCCAGUAAGGUACUUCAUUGUUACCUAGAAAUUAUUUGAUUUUGAGAUAAAAAUUGGCUGCAUUGAACCUUUUAAAUGAUCUAGAAAAUCAAUAGUUUUUUUAAUGGUUGUUUAACAAAGUUAGGGGCAGCAGGGAGCUGAGCGGUUAAGAGCAUUGGGUCAGUAACCGAAAGAUCGCUGGUUCAAAUCCCUGAGCCGACUAGGUAAAAAAAAAAGUGUCAAUGUGCCCUUGAGCAAAGCACUUAUCCAUAAUUGCUUCGGUAAGUUGCUCUGGAUAACAGUGUCUGCUAAAUUAUGUAAAUGUUAGCUGGCUAACUCAUAUGGCCUGCUAAAGUAUUAUGCCCUAUUACCUGGGACCACUAGGCUACGAUCUAUUGUCCAUAGAGAAACAUCUGUAUUGUACAUUACUAACGUGUCUCAUAAGCUAUUGUUGAAAUCAUUUGGAGAUUUGAUUCAGUGUGUCCGUUGUGUUUUCGCGACGAACUUCACUGCAUUUUGUCUUGACUGACCAGAACCAACCGAAAACAGGCCCUGGUGGCAUGUCAUAGUUUUUUUUAUUUUUUAUUAAUUAAUUAAUAUUUUUCUUUAUUUACAAUGUAUUUAUUUUUGAUUCUUUCUUUAAUUUUUGUAUUUAUUUUGUUUUCUAUUGCUUUUGAAAAUGUCUCUCGAAUAUUAGUUUUAAAAUGUUCAAAGUUUUUUUUUGUAUCUUGUGUGUUUUAAAAGGGGCUCUAUCAUUAAGCUACAUAGCAGGUUUGAUAGGUCCACGUGGGUUAUAAAGUGAAAAGGAUGGAGUAAACAUUAAUGACACAGCUCCCAGAGUUCACCUGACUGUGAAAACUUCCUGUUAAGCGUUGCUUUCUAUGGACACAGCAUAUAAUGUGGUCUUCUUUAAAAGAUGAUCGAUUGACAACCAUGACUCUUCUCAGUAUUAUAUCUGCAAGUUCUCGAAAAAAAAAACUUACGACCAGUUCCAUGCAUCCUAUCGACCAGUUCCAUGCAUCCUAUCGACCUGAGGUCCAUGCAUCCUAUCGACCAGUUCCAUGCAUCCUAUCGACCUGAGGUCCAUGCAUCCUAUCGACCUGAGGUCCAUGCAUCCUAUCGACCAGGUCCAUGCAUCCUAUCGACCUGAGGUCCAUGCAUCCAAUCGACCAGUUCCAUGCAUCCUAUCGACCAGUUCCAUGCAUCCUAUCGACCAG
ensembl:lncRNA